UUUAAUUUUGAAAAAUCAGAAUUUAUAGUGCACUAAGGCAACUGCUUAGUGGCUCAAGUCUUGUGGUCUUGGGAGCAUAUUCGUCUGCAGACUGAAAGGUAAACUUGAGAAACUGGCUACAGAGCAAGAGGUGGUGGGUGACACAACGGCAGUUAGGAGCAUUUCAAACUGGGAUUAGGUCCUCAAAGCCUGACACACUAGGAAAGAGUUUCCCCUCACCCUGCAACUCGGUCGCCUCUUGUCGCCCAACCCGCAGGGGGCGUCCUACGCACUGUCAACUCGGGAGUGCCCGCAUGCAAGCUGUUUUUUCCAGUAUGAGCCAGAUGGGAGACCACAGUGUGGAGUCACGCACCUUACCCUGAGCACUCUGGGCCUGACUACUGAAAGAAAAGAAGAGCAUCCGGAUUACUCCCGCAGUGACCAUAGACAGGAGGCGGGGCGGGGCGAGCGGAGGUGAGCCUCGCGUGGCCCCGCCCCUCGAGGGGACUCACCUGGGGCGGGCGGGGCGUGGGUGGGCGGGGCGAGCGGAGGUGAGCGACGCGCGGACCUGCCGCUCAGGCAGUUACGGAGGUUGGUGGCUUUUGGCCACUCACGCUACGCCAGGGGCUGAGGAGUGCCAGCUGAGGUUGCACAGAGAAUCCUCCUGGCUGAUGGAUAGACAGAGAUGUUCAUUACUCAACUCCUCCACAAAGAAGAGCUAAAGAUGCACAGCUGUGUUCAGAGGGAAAAAACCAAAGUGAAGCUGUUUCUUCUCCUGUGAACUCGUCAGACUGC
rnacentral:lncRNA from 1 species